GUGCAGCAGUCGAGAAACCUCCCCCAAUGCCCGAAAGGGUGAGGGGGUCACCCCGAGUGCCACCCUCGUGGUGGCUUUUGCGGGGUCUAAAAAGCCCCGCGAAUAAGGGGAGGGCAAGACGGGUGUCAGCCGCCGCGGUAAUACCCGCUCCCCGAGUGGUGGGGACUAUUACUGGGCUUAAAAGCGUCCGUAGCCGGCUGGGUGUGUCCCCCGUUAAAUCCACGGGCCUAACCCGUGGGCUGCGGGGGAUACUACCUGGCUUGGGGGUGGGAGAGGGCGGCGGUAUUCCCGGGGUAGGGGUAAAAUCCUCUGAUCCCGGGAGGACCACCAGUGGCGAAGGCGGCCGCCCAGAACACGCCCGACGGUGAGGGACGAAAGCUGGGGGA
rnacentral:rRNA from 1 species